rnacentral:snoRNA from 1 species
GUUUGAGUGAUGACUUAGCAGUUUGUCGGAUACCCCUUCACCCCUCUUAUGGGUGAGAACAGCAGUCUGACAAAC